CCUACGGGGGGCAGCAGUGAGGGAUAUUGGUCAAUGGGGGAAACCCUGAACCAGCAACGCCGCGUGAGGGAAGACGGUUUGCGGAUUGGAAACCUCUGUCCACGGUGAAGAGAAUGACGGUAGCAGAGGAGGAAGCCCCGGCUAACUACGUGCCAGCAGCCGCGGUAAUACGUAGGGAGCAAGCGUUGUCCGGAUUUACUGGGUGUAAAGGGUGCGUAGGCGGCCCGGCAAGUCAGAAGUGAAAUCCCUGGGCUUACCCCGUGAACUGCUUUUGAAACUGUAGGGCUUGAGUGAAGUAGAGGCAGGCGGAAUUCCCGGUGUAGCGGUGAAAUGCGUAGAUAUCGGGAGGCACCCCAGUGGCGAAGGCGGCCUGCUGGGCUUUAACUGACGCUGAGGCACGAAAGCGUGGGUCGCAAACAGGAUUAGCUACCCCAGUAGUC
rnacentral:rRNA from 1 species